rnacentral:rRNA from 1 species
GGGCCCGCACAAGCGGUGGAGCAUGUGGUUUAAUUCGAUGAUACGCGAGGAACCUUACCAGGUCUUAAAUGCAUAACGAACGAUUGGGAAACCAAUCUUUCUUCGGACGGAAUGCAAGGUGCUGCAUGGUUGUCGUCAGCUCGUGCCGUGAGGUGUCAGGUUAAGUCCUAUAACGAGCGCAACCCCCUAUUCUUAGUUGCCAGCGGUUCGGCCGGGGACUCUAAGAAAACUGCCAGUGCAAGCUGUGAGGAAGGUGGGGAUGACGUCAAAUCAUCACGGCCCCUUGACGAACCCUGGGCCACACAGCGUGCUACAAUGGAGUAGGUACAAAGGGCAGCCACUUGGCGACAAGGAG